UGGGGAAUAUUGCACAAUGGGGGAAACCCGUGAUGCAGCGACGCCGCGUGAGCGAUGAAGUAUUUCGGUAUGUAAAGCUCUAUCAGCAGGGAAGAAAAUGACGGUACCUGACUAAGAAGCCCGGCUAACUACGUGCC
rnacentral:rRNA from 1 species